rnacentral:rRNA from 1 species
AUAUGCUUGUCUCAAAGAUUAAGCCAUGCAUGUCUCAGUACAAGCCUAAUUAAGGUGAAACCGCGAAAGGCUCAUUAAAUCAGUUAUGGUUCCUUAGAUCGUACCCACAUUUACUUGGAUAACUGUGGUAAUUCUAGAGCUAAUACAUGCGAACAGAGUCCCGACCGGAGACGGGAGGGAUGCUUUUAUUAGAUCAAAACCAAUCGGCGGCGGGCGCGUCCGCGCGUCCGUUCGCCGCUCAACCUGGUGACUCUGAAUAACUUUCGGCUGAUCGCACGGUCCAGAACCGGCGACGCAUCUUUCAAAUGUCUGCCUUAUCAACUGUCGAUGGUAGGUUCUGCGCCUACCAUGGUCGUAACGGGUAACGGGGAAUCAGGGUUCGAUUCCGGAGAGGGAGCCUGAGAAACGGCUACCACAUCCAAGGAAGGCAGCAGGCGCGCAAAUUACCCACUCCCGGCACGGGGAGGUAGUGACGAAAAAUAACGAUACGGGACUCAUCCGAGGCCCCGUAAUCGGAAUGAGUACACUUUAAAUCCUUUAACGAGGAUCAAUUGGAGGGCAAGUCUGGUGCCAGCAGCCGCGGUAAUUCCAGCUCCAAUAGCGUAUAUU